GUCCUUUUUACAAUUGUAUACAGACAUAUCAAAAGGACUUCAUGGUUUUUUGAUAAGCUAUCAAAAGAAUUGAGAGGGCAUCCACUAAGCUUACAUCUAUUGCCACUAUUGCAAUUUUCUCACAUCGCAAGCUUAAUGUCUUCGAUUUUGGCUAUCUCAAUGCAACAUCUUGAAGCAUUACACUACAACACAUGUACUAGAAUUGACAAGAUUAACCUAUUGGAAUUAAGAGUGUAAUUCUAACAUUGAGUUGUUACUUUUAUUCUAGACAUAGAAGUGAUUUUAUAUUAUAUUGAAUUUUUAUUUUAUUUUGGUGAAGGAGGUGAACCACAAAGAAUUGUGAUUCCUCAAUAGUAUCUUUUUAGCAUUGACAUUAAUACAAAUUGAUGUUAUGGAUAUACCUAUAAUUAUCUAAAUAAUAUGAAUACGUAGAAGUAAGUUAAUUUUACAACAUCUUAUGGAAAAGCUUCCUAAAAGGUUUACAGAAGUGGUUUCACCUUUAUACAUGUGUAUAGGUGAUUGAUAGGUUAAAAACUUAGCCAAUAAGUUAGCCACAUGUCACACUUAUUGAUAGCUUGUGGUACAAGUUAAUGAUGUGGUGCACUUAUAAGAAACUUGUCUUACAAGUUAAGACAAGUGUCUUGCAAUUAGACAUGUAUUGGAGAUCCUAUAAAACGUUGCUGCAUAGCUCUUAGGUAGAUGGUAUAUAUAGAGGUAAGAGUGAAGCUUUCACUUUUAUCAACUCCUUUUUUGUUUCUAGUCUAGUUUUAAAAAUCUAUAGUUUUUUAAUUUUUGACAAUAGCCAUUCUAAUUUUUGGUUAAAUAUAUUUACUUUCUUAUUUCUACUUUAUCAUCUCUUUUAUUCAUUUUUUAUUUGUUUACAUAUCUUUUUUGAGUUCUUGUCCUUGAAAAUUGAUUAUUUGUUGAAUGUAUGAUUUUUGAUUUCUAAUACACUCUUCUAACUAAGAUAUGGUGUAGGUGGGAUUCUCUUCUAAAAAUGCUAAGUAACAGAAGGUGAUAUUUGAAGCUAAUCUUGCUUCAUUGCUAGUUUUGCAUACUCCUACAAAUACAAAGAUGGAAUUAUCUAUACAAUCAUAAAUUGCUCCAGGUGCAGUAUGAUAUUUUUUCUUCAAUGUAAAUAUUGCUACUUGGUUUGUUAUUGUUGAUGUGAUUUCUUCUAUUAUUGGUUUAGAUUUACUUUCUUUUCCACAUACCAUCUCUCACAAUUCUUCCAUUUCUAAUUUCAUCUUGAUUAUUUGCCUCUACAUUGUGUACAAAGAGCCAUCAAAUUUUGGCCAUUCAUUGGUAUUGAUGUUGUUUGAAGCCAUCUUUAUGAGGGAGGGUCUAUUCAUGCCCCAAUUUCUAUCAAAAAUGUCUUUCAUACAUCCCUUCGUCUUCUAGGCUUCAUUUUUUUUUAAUUUUCUAUAAUUUUCUAAGGUUGGAUACCCUAUUGAAAUUAGGAGUGUAAUUCUAAAAU
rnacentral:lncRNA from 1 species